rnacentral:rRNA from 1 species
UACGGAGGAUGCGAGCGUUAUCCGGAUUUAUUGGGUUUAAAGGGUGCGCAGGCGGAGGCGCAAGUCAGCGGUAAAAUCGCGGGGCUCAACCCCGCUCCGCCGUUGAAACUGUGUCCCUUGAGUGCGCGAAGGGCAGGCGGAAUGCGUGGUGUAGCGGUGAAAUGCAUAGAUAUCACGCAGAACUCCGAUCGCGAAGGCAGCCUGCCGGCGCGCAACUGACGCUCAUGCACGAAAGCGUGGGUAUCGAA